UGGUGGGCCACAUCUGUGCAACGGUUGUGUGUUUCGUUGUGGAAUCGUUACCCGUUGCCCUCUUUCUUGUUCCUGAUGCUAUGGAGGGUGGCUGAGGCUGGUUGGGGGAGGGGGGCGUGUAUGUUUCGCCUCCGUCAUUGAUGUGCCUGCCCUAAUUGUCAUGUUCCCAUCCAUGUGCUGCACGUGCAGCAGGCCUCGGAAGAUGGGGCCGACGUCCAGCCGGGAAUGGAGGUAAGAUGGGGGGGAGGGUCGGGGCUCUUAUGUGUUUUACAUGGG
rnacentral:lncRNA from 1 species